UUUAACAAUCAACCAGUAGACACAAGGAGCUCAAGGCAAAGGCAUUAGCUGAAAAGGUAUCAUCAUAACAGCAGCUGCAAAGCUUUCUCCUCAUACCCUGGGUCCACUCGGCCAUAAAUCCGUACAGCAUCAGUGGGAGGAAUGUGCACAUGCAUGGAAUACACUGGGAGAAAGGCAGACGUGUAGAAGUACACGUGGUCCAGAUGACACACGCCUCUUUUGUUCCCACUCUGCUCCUCCAGAUUUCACCCCUUCACCAGCAGGCUUGUUGAUCUGGAGGUGCCGCCACUCUGAAAUCCACUCUCCUGAAUGAUGGAUGAUGCAACAGAACUGAGUGUUUCCACAGCAUUGCAGAGCCAGAGAUGGCGGCCAAGGCCAGCUCUACAGCACAGAUGAGGAGGGUCCCCGAGUGAGUGAGGGAGCACCAAAGAUGUUGCAUUCUUGCCUCCCAAGAAGAACUGGAUUUCUGAUCUCCAGCCCAAGGGUCUUGUACACAGG